AUUGAACGCUAGCGGGUUGCUUUACACAUGCAAGUCGAACGGCAGCGCGGACUUCGGUCUGGCGGCGAGUGGCGAACGGGUGAGUAAUGUAUCGGAACGUGCCCAGUAGCGGGGGAUAACUACGCGAAAGCGUAGCUAAUACCGCAUACGCCCUACGGGGGAAAGCAGGGGAUCGUAAGACCUUGCACUAUUGGAGCGGCCGAUAUCGGAUUAGCUAGUUGGUGAGGUAACGGCUCACCAAGGCGACGAUCCGUAGCUGGUUUGAGAGGACGACCAGCCACACUGGGACUGAGACACGGCCCAGACUCCUACGGGAGGCAGCAGUGGGGAAUUUUGGACAAUGGGGGCAACCCUGAUCCAGCCAUCCCGCGUGUGCGAUGAAGGCCUUCGGGUUGUAAAGCACUUUUGGCAGGAAAGAAACGUCGCGGGCUAAUACCCCGUGGAACUGACGGUACCUGCAGAAUAAGCACCGGCUAACUACGUG
rnacentral:rRNA from 1 species